rnacentral:rRNA from 1 species
AAGGGAAAAUAAUGAUACUACCUUACUUAUAGUGUUGUCUAAAGCUGGUGCCAGAAGACUCGGUAAAGCCAGAAACGCAAACGUCUAAUCAUCAUAAACAGGCGUAAAGGGUUAGUAGGCUGCUUUUUAGUUAAUAAUUUAAUCUUAACCCCUUAAGUUUAAAAUAAUAAAAUUUUUUUAUUAGUUUAUUUAUAUUAAUCUUUAGAGCUAGAAUCAAAAAGAAGUUAAAAAGUAUAAUACUUAGAGUAGGGAUAAUAUCUGGAGAUACUAGGCGGAAUACUAAAGGUGUAAACAACUAACUAUAAAUGAUUGACGCUGAGAGACGAAGGUGAGGACAGGAAUAGGAUUAGAUACCCCGGUACCCCUCUCUGUAAACGAUGAAUGGUAAUCAUUAGUAUAUUACUGGUGGUAAAGUUAACGCGUUAACCAUUCCGCCUUGGGAGUACGACUGCAAAGUUGAAAACAAAAAAAUUAGUCGGUCUCGAAGCAAACGGAGUGAA